GAUGAACGCUGGCGGCGUGCUUAACACAUGCAAGUCGAACGGUGAAGCAGUGCUUGCGUUGUGGACCAGUGGCGAACGGGUGAGUAACACGUGAGCAACCCGCCCCUGACUCUGGGAUAAGCGCUGGAAACGGCGGCUCAUACAGGAUAUGAGCUCUGCCCGCACGGUCAGCGGGUGGAAAGAUUUUUCGGUCUGGGAUGGGCUCACGGCCUAUCAGCUUGUUGGUGGGGUAAUGGCUCACCAAGGCGUCGACGGGUAGCCGGCCUGAGAGGGUGACCGGCCACACUGGGACUGAGACACGGCCCAGACUCCUACGGGAGGCAGCAGUGGGGAAUAUUGCACAAUGGGCGGAAGCCUGAUGCAGCAACGCCGCGUGAGGGAUGACGGCCUUCGGGUUGUAAACCUCUUUUGGCAGUGAAGAAGCGAGAGUGACGGUACCUGCAGAAAAAGCGCCGGCUAACUACGUG
rnacentral:rRNA from 1 species